rnacentral:lncRNA from 1 species
UAAGUAAAAUGGGCUUGCAGUACAGAAAAAAAGCACAACCUUCGAGACUCACAAUUACUUUCACGGUCGUUUGCGGUUUUGAUGCUCGUAGUACAGUGGUUGGCUUAUGGCUUUCGCAUUUACUUCGACUUUGGAUACGCAACUGUGAAAAGCGCGGCAGCGGUAGCAGCGGUUACUCCUCAGAAUCUGAAACCACGCCGGCGGUUCUUUAUUCCAUGACGGCGGCAAGCCUGCGACCGUCGAAACGCGAGUGGGAUUUUUCUCUUGCGUCCGUUGCGCCUGUGAUACCCGACAACUGUAGCAGCAUGUCAUCUGAUCCGACUUCAACUGAAGGCUCGCCGACUGAUGCGGAAGCAGUUUACCUCGUUUCGCACGGGCCGACAAAGAAAAUUGUGAAGUUCACAGGCGCCCGGAAGCUCGCCCACCUUCACGAAAGUGUGUGGAUGGGUGGGUUCGCGCACCUGAUGACAUGCAACGAUCUCCUAAUACAGCAUGCUGGAAGCUGCACAGGGGAGUUGGCAAGGGGGCACAAGGAAGCAAUGCCCCGUUGCUGUCCGUAGGGUGAACGCAAGGCGGCUCGUGGCGGCCGCAAUUUCUACGCUGCGCUUUUCAUCUCUGAAGCCAUGCGCAGCAGCGUGCAGUCGUCAUGUUCAGAAAAGCAGUGCAAAGGUACCCGAAUAAGCUGUACAACAUUGCUGCAAGGUGCCUUGGUAAACCAGUACCCAGCCCUGAGGAACAGAUUGGACUCUGGCUAUAUGCAAAAGGCGUGAGCGCCAUCAUGGUUCUACCAUUUCUUGUCAAUGAGCGAGGGGACGACAUGUUCACAAAAAUGACGCCAGAACAGGAGUUUGCCCACCCCACAUUGCUGUACACUGGCGACAACCGCAUCUCUUCCAAGGCCCUGUGUGUGAAGUGUGGAUAUGUAUGUGUAGAUGUAUUGGACUUCACUUCCGGUGUAACGGGGUUAUGUUUAUUUUCUAUGUACUGGGGCUUUCAACAUCGAAUACAUCAGCUCUGCGGAGCAGACACUCUCAUUGCUGCAACACAUGAUUGAAAUGAAAACGAAAACGACAAAACUAGGCGCCAAGUCCCAACAGCUUUAAUAGCACGGUUAACUGCUACAACUAACAAAAUCACAGCCAGUACUGAGCAGGCUGAGAAAUCUGACUAAGCUGCUAAAGUCGUCUUGAAAUGCACCUUCCUGUAUGCACUUAGCCUUUUUUGUUUCUUUUUUUUAACGCUCAGGCUAUUUUGGUGUUCGUAGCCUUGGAUUAUGCAGCUGAG